UACGUAGGGUCCGAGCGUUGUCCGGAUUUAUUGGGCGUAAAGAGCGUGUAGGCGGCCAGGUAGGUCCGUUGUGAAAACUCGAGGCUCAACCUCGAGACGUCGAUGGAAACCAUCUGGCUAGAGUCCGGAAGAGGAGAGUGGAAUUCCUGGUGUAGCGGUGAAAUGCGCAGAUAUCAGGAAGAACACCUAUGGCGAAGGCAGCUCUCUGGGACGGUACUGACGCUGAGACGCGAAAGCGUGGGGAGCGAACAGG
rnacentral:rRNA from 1 species